rnacentral:rRNA from 1 species
AGAUUGAACGCUGGCGGCGUGCUUAACACAUGCAAGUCGAGCGGUAACGCGGGAGCAAUCCUGGCGACGAGCGGCGAACGGGUGAGUAAUGCUUGGGAAUCUGCCCAUUAGUGGGGAACAACCAGCCGAAAGGUUGGCUAAUACCGCAUACGCCCUACGGGGGAAAGCGGGGGAUCGAAAGACCUCGCGCUAAUGGAUGAGCCCAAGUCGGAUUAGCUUGUUGGUAGGGUAACGGCCUACCAAGGCGACAAUCCGUAGCUGGUCUGAGAGGACGACCAGCCACACUGGGACUGAGACACGGCCCAGACUCCUACGGGAGGCAGCAGUGGGGAAUAUUGGACAAUGGGGGCAACCCUGAUCCAGCGACGCCGCGUGUGUGAAGAAGGCCUGCGGGUUGUAAAGCACUUUUAGUGGGGAUGAAAAGCUCAGGGUUAACACCUCUGGGUCUUGACCUAACCACAGAAAAAGCACCGGCUAACUCUGCGCCAGCAGCCGC